UACGUAGGGAGCAAGCGUUGUCCGGAAUCAUUGGGCGUAAAGCGCGCGUAGGCGGCUCGAUCAGUCUGUUGUGAAAGUCAAAGGCUCAACCUUUGAAUGCCGAUGGAUACUGUCGAGCUAGAGUCCGGAAGAGGCGGGUGGAAUUCCUGGUGUAGCGGUGGAAUGCGCAGAUAUCAGGAGGAACACCGGUGGCGAAGGCGGGACUCUGGGCCGAUACUGACGCUGAGGAGCGAAAGCGUGGGGAGCAAACAGG
rnacentral:rRNA from 1 species